rnacentral:rRNA from 1 species
UACCUAAUAGCUAGCCACACCAACUAAACACAACAAAACUACAUAAAUACCCCCUAACCACCCCCCCCCCCCCACCUCAAACAAACCAUUUUUCCACCCUAGUACGGGCGACAGAAAAGGACCUUUGUGAGCAAUAGAAAAAGUACCGCAAGGGAAAGCUGAAAGAGAUAUGAAAAAGCCCAGUAAAGUUUAGAAAAGCAGAGAUUAAACUCGUACCUUUUGCAUCAUGUUUUAGCCAGUAACACCCAAGCAAAGAGCCCUUUAGUUUGGACCCCCGAAACUAAGCGAGCUACUCCAAGACAGCCUAUUUAAAGGGCACACCCGUCUCUGUGGCAAAAGAGUGGGAAGAGCUUUGAGUAGAGGUGACAGACCUACCGAGCUUAGUUAUAGCUGGUUCCCUGGGAAAUGGAUAGGAGUUCAGCCUUCUAAGUUCUUCACUCCAACCCUUCAACAAGGUGAAAAGAAAUCAGAAGAGUUAAUCAAGGGGGGUACAGCCCCCUUGAAAAAAGAUACAACUUUAGCAGAAGGAUAAAGAUCAUACGAAAUUUAAAGGAGAGUCCUCUUGGUGGGCCUAAAAGCAGCCACCCCAACAGAAAGCGUUAAAGCUCAAAUACGGAACACCCUAUAUAUUCUGACAACCUAAUCUUAAUCCUCUAGUACUACCAGGAAGCCCUAUGCGAGCAUAGGAAUUAUACUGCUAAUAUGAGUAAUAAGAGAACAUAAGAUUCUCUCCUAGCACAAGUGUAAAUCGGAACGAACCCCCACCGAAAAUUGACGGCCCCAAGAAAAGAGGGAACUGGAUGAAAAAUAAAAAACUAGAAGAACACCCAACAAUUAACCGUUAACCUCACACUAGAGUGCUGCCAAGGAAAGACUAAAAGGGGAAGAAGGAACUCGGCAAACACACCCAAGCCUCGCCUGUUUACCAAAAACAUCGCCUCUUGUACCUAAUAAAUAAGAGGUCCUGCCUGCCCUGUGACAAUUAGUUCAACGGCCGCGGUAUUUUGACCGUGCGAAGGUAGCGCAAUCACUUGUCUUUUAAAUGGAGACCUGUAUGAAUGGCAAAACGAGGGCUUAGCUGUCUCCUCCCCCCAGUCAAUGAAAUUGAUCUCCCCGUGAAGAAGCGGGGAUACUCACAUAAGACGAGAAGACCCUAUGGAGCUUUAGACACCAAGGCAGAUCACGUUAAAACCCCUGAAUAAAGGAAUAAACAAGAUGAAGACUACCCUAUGUCUUUGGUUGGGGCGACCGCGGGGCAAAAAAUACCCCCCAUGUGGAAAGGGAACACCCUUCCUAUCACCCAGAGCUACCGCUCUAAUUAUCAGAAUAUCUGACCAAAAGAUCCGGCUCAAGCCGAUCAACGGACCGAGUUACCCUAGGGAUAACAGCGCAAUCCCCUUCUAGAGACCCUAUCGACAAGGGAGUUUACGACCUCGAUGUUGGAUCAGGACAUCCUAAUGGUGCAGCUGCUAUUAAGGGUUCGUUUGUUCAACGAUUAAAGUCCUACGUGAUCUGAGUUCAGACCGGAGUAAUCCAGGUCAGUUUCUAUCUAUGAUAUGAUCUUUUCUAGUACGCAAGGACCGAAAAGAGGGGGCCCCUGUAAUAUACACACCCCCUCCUCACCUAAUGAAAUCAACUAAAUUAGGCAAGAGGACAUACCUACCUAGCCAAAGAAAAUGGCAU